rnacentral:rRNA from 1 species
UGGGGAAUAUUGGACAAUGGGGGAAACCCUGAUCCAGCAAUGCCGCGUGAGUGAAGAAGGCCUUAGGGUUGUAAAGCUCUUUCGCCCGCGAAGAUAAUGACGGUAGCGGGAGAAGAAGCCCCGGCUAACUCCGUGCCAGCAGCCGCGGUAAUACGGAGGGGGCUAGCGUUGUUCGGAAUUACUGGGCGUAAAGCGUACGUAGGCGGAUGCGCAAGUUGGGGGUGAAAUCCCGGGGCUUAACCUCGGAAUUGCCCUCAAAACUGCACGUCUUGAGACCGAGAGAGGUAAGGGGAAUUCCUAGUGUAGAGGUGAAAUUCGCAGAUAUUAGGAAGAACACCAGUGGCGAAGGCGCCUUACUGACUCGGUACUGACGCUGAGGUACGAAAGCGUGGGGAGCAAACA